UACGAAGGGGGCUAGCGUUGCUCGGAAUCACUGGGCGUAAAGGGUGCGUAGGCGGGUCUUUAAGUCAGGGGUGAAAUCCUGGAGCUCAACUCCAGAACUGCCUUUGAUACUGUUUGGCUUGAGACCGGAAGAGGUAAGUGGAACUGCGAGUGUAGAGGUGAAAUUCGUAGAUAUUCGCAAGAACACCAGUGGCGAAGGCGGCUUACUGGUCCGGUUCUGACGCUGAGGCGCGAAAGCGUGGGGAGCAAACAGG
rnacentral:rRNA from 1 species